CACGUAGGGUGCGAGCGUUGUCCGGAAUUAUUGGGCGUAAAGAGCUCGUAGGCGGCUUGUCACGUCGGGUGUGAAAGCCCGGGGCUUAACCCCGGGUCUGCAUUCGAUACGGGCUAGCUAGAGUGUGGUAGGGGGAGAUCGGAAUUCCUGGUGUAGCGGUGAAAUGCGCAGAUAUCAGGAGGAACACCGGUGGCGAAGGCGGAUCUCUGGGCCAUUACUGACGCUGAGGAGCGAAAGCGUGGGGAGCGAACAGG
rnacentral:rRNA from 1 species